CAGGCUAGUGCCACCCAUAUAUAAUGCCACCCCGAACAACCUUUUUUACUUUGUGUAUUUUGGCUUAAUUAUCAAAUUGACAACAUGACGUUGAGUGGAAAGCAUUCAGGAGGUUCUAUACCCCCACCGAUUCAGACAUACGCGUUCCUCGUUUGGGCUGAGAAAACUUGCCACAAACUAUGUGUGGCACUGUGCCCUCACUUCUUAGUCCCCCUUAUUGAGGACAUCGAAACUUUAAUGAGCCCUAACGCAUUCCAUACAACACACAACACGCGUGCAACAAUGUGGAGUUGUUCCUUUUCGUUGCACAAGCCAAAAUCACACAACUUUCGGGCUACUCUCCAACCCUUACUCUCACUCCCACGUGGGUGUUUUCUGCAACUUUUCUGACCAUUCAACUAUAAUAGUCCGGAACCUUGCAGCAAAAACAAAGGGCGAGCCACUACGAGGUCUAUAAGGAGGAGGAAGAUGAUGAUGACGAUGACGAUGACGACAGACCACCUGACUUGACGAGUUUCCUGCCACAGCCUGGUGUUUUAGCAGAACGCUACUGGGAGCUCAUAGUGUUUAUACAAAACGGUCUCGUUUUCAACUAAGAAAUUAUCCCUGGAAAUUCCAAAUGUUAAACCUAGAAUUGAGCUUAAAAAUGUCCCACAUUAUUGAUAAGAGCUGGAUUACGGACUCGAAGUGAGCAUCUGGUUGAGGGAACUAUUAAGAUACACAUACUAAGGUUAUGCAAUAAAUUGAAGCCAAAAUCUUCUGGACAAUGAAUACCAAGAGUGUGCGUGCUCUCAUCUAGCCAACCACUCGUCUCUUGGACUCGAAUGCUUGUUAGCAGCUUGGUUAGCCACAAGGAAAACAUAAUGGCUUUUAAUCUACCAAUUUUAAUGAGCAGGCCAUGUAUUCGCUGAUAAAGGUUGAAAAUGGUGUCUAGAAUGUGGAAACUCAAGAAAUUAAGGCUACAAGGACAAUAGUAGCAGCAGCACCAAUGCCUAGGAGACUUCUGAGUGGCUUAUGUGUAAUUGACAAUAGGGAAACAAGGAAUACAUUCUAAGAAGCGGCUUGCAUACAAUGUUAUAUAUAAUUGUAUAGCUUUAUAUUUUCUCUCUUUUCGAAUAAGAAAUUCCUUACCAGACACCACAGAAAAAUUACAUUAUAUAAAAAAUCUAAGUUAAAUUCCAGAGCGUUAGCGACAGAGACCAGACUGGGAUCUAGCGAUUCAAAGGAGGGCCAGUCCUGGCUAGCUCCCGGAAUCAUUAAUUCAUAAUGCCUUAAUAUACUUUCUGCCCAGCAGCGAGGUAAGGCUCCAGACCCCAAUACCAGACAAACUCUGUGGAAUUUCCCCUUCAACGUAGAAGCAGACCACAAAUAAGGCGGAGUGAGGAUAGAAUAACGUUAAGGACCAUGGAUAUCUAUAUUUUACUUACUAACAACAAUGUUUUGCCUCUCACAAAAAACCCAGAAAACUUAUUUGCGGUUUCCCAAUGUCUGUACCACUCUACAUGAAUCUCUAUCACUCUCUCUGGUACUGAAUGUUGUUUCAGUUACUCGGUACUCAUUAGUACAAUUGCAGUAAAGCGACGAACUAAUUGCUCUGCUCGAAUGUAUCGUAGGCGUUACCCACAGUGAAGAUGAGAGAGCCAGACGGCGCAAUUUCUCGAGAGAGCAGCUGGAACAUAACGCCAGAAGGGUAGAAAGGUAAAGCUGAUCCCAGGCUAAAGAUGACAAUAUACUAUAGUAACAUAUAGUAACACU